rnacentral:rRNA from 1 species
AUGACUUCGGCUCCUCUGCUGCUCGGUGGCUGCGAGCCCGCCGAUGGCAAGGGCGGCGAAGGAGAGGCGAAGCCCUGCUCGCCGGCGUGGUUGCGCCGCCUGAUCGACACGGAGGAGGCGUGGGCGCAGCUGCAGUUCGCGGUGCCGAUGGUCCUCACCAACAUGUCCUACUACGGCAUCCCGCUGGUGUCCGUCAUGUUCUCCGGCCACCUCGGCGACGUCCACCUCGCCGGCUCAACGCUCGGCAACUCCUGGGCCACCGUCACCGGCUACGCCUUCGUGACCGGUAUGAGCGGCGCCCUGGAGACGCUAUGCGGGCAGGCCUACGGCGCCCGACUAUACCGCAUGCUAGGACUGUACCUACAGUCGUCGCUCAUCAUGUCGGCCGUGGUGUCCAUGGUCAUCGCUGUCCUGUGGCUGUUCACGGAGCCGCUGCUUCUGUGCCUGCGUCAAGAACCUGAGGUGUCCCGCGCCGCCGCGGUGUUCAUUCGGUACCAGAUCCCCGGUCUGUUCGCCUUCUCCUUCCUGCAGUGCCUUAUACGGUACUUGCAAACGCAAUCCAUCGUCCUGCCGCUCGUCAUCUGCUCCAUGGUGCCAUUCCUGCUCCACAUCGUGCUGAACCACCUGCUGGUGAACGUGCUCGGCUAUGGCCUCAUCGGCGCGUCUGCCGCCAUCUCCAUCACCUUAUGGUUCUCCUGCCUGAUGCUGCUUGGGUACGUGAUGCGGUCCAAGGAGUUUAGCGAGACGUGGAAGGGUUUCUCCACCGACGCGUUCAACUACGUGAUGCCGACGAUCAAGCUCGCUACGCCCUCCGCCAUCAUGGUUUGCUUGGAGUACUGGGCGUUUGAGCUUCUGGUUCUUAUCGCUGGCUUGCUACCGAAUUCCACAGUGAGCACGUCACUGAUCGCCAUGUGCUCGAGCACGGAGGCGAUUGCCUACAUGAUCACCUACGGAUUCAGUGCCGCUGUAAGCACCCGGGUGUCGAAUGAGAUAGGAGCCGGGAACGUGGAUAUGGCGAAGAAUGCGGUCGCGGUGACGCUCAAACUGUCAGUGUUCCUCGCCUUCUCCUUCAUCCUGCUGCUGGGCUUAGGCCAUGGCCUUUGGGCGAGACUCUUCAGCGGGAGCGAGGUGAUUGUGGCAGAAUUCACGGCCAUCACCCCUCUGCUGAUGAUCUCCAUCGUGCUCGACUCCGCGCAGGGCGUACUGUCAGGGGUGGCGAGGGGCUGCGGAUGGCAGCACCUGGCGGCGAUGACGAACCUUGUGGCGUUCUACUUCAUCGGCAUGCCGUUGGCCAUGCUCUUUGCCUUCAAGCUCAAUUUCUACACCACGGGUUUAUGGUCGGGUCUGAUCUGCGGGCUGACUUGCCAGACCAGCACGCUGGUGGUGAUCACCGCCCGCACGAAAUGGUCCAAGAUCGUGGAUGCGAUGCAGCAAGAGAAGGCCAACUACAUCGCUUGA